CUGCCAGGCCCUUACUGACAUUGAAGCUCGAAGGUGCGGGUAUCAAACAGGAUUAGAUACCCUGGUAGUCCGCACGGUAAACGAUGGAUGCCCGCUGUCGGCGGUAUACGGUCGGCGGCCAAGCGAAAGCGUUAAGCAUCCCACCUGGGGAGUACGCCGGCAGCGGUGAAACUCAAAGGAAUUGACGGGGGCCCGCACAAGCGGAGGAACAUGUGGUUUAAUUCGAUGAUACGCGAGGAACCUUACCCGGGCUUGAAUUGCAGAGGAACGUCGUAGAGAUGCGUCGGCCCUUCGGGGUCUCUGUGAAGGUGCUGCAUGGUUGUCGUCAGCUCGUGCCGUGAGGUGUCGGCUCAAGUGCCAUAACGAGCGCAACCCCUGCCGUCAGUUGCCAUCGGGUGAUGCCGGGCACUCUGUCGGGACUGCCGUCGUAAGGCGUGAGGAAGGUGGGGAUGACGUCAAAUCAGCACGGCCCUUACGUCCGGGGCUACACACGUGUUACAAUGGGGGGCACAGCGGGACGCUACCCGGCGACGGGGCGCGGAUCCAUCAAAUCCCCUCCCAGUUCGGACUGGAGUCUGCAACCCGACUCCACGAAGCUGGA
rnacentral:rRNA from 1 species